rnacentral:rRNA from 1 species
ACACAGGUGCUGCAUGGCUGUCGUCAGCUCGUGUCGUGAGAUGUUGGGUUAAGUCCCGCAACGAGCGCAACCCUUGCCAUUAGUUGCUACCAAAGGGCACUCUAAUGGAAGUGCCGGGGGAAAAACGAAAGAAGGGGGGGAUGACUUCCAGUCCUCCUGGCCCUUUUGGGUGGGGGUUCCCCCCUCCUAACAUGGGUGGUACAAGGGGUGCCAACCCCCCAGGGGGAGCCAAUCCCCAAAAAACAAUCGACUCCGUAUCGAACUCUGCCACUCACUGCGUGAGUUUGAAUCACUCGUAAC